rnacentral:rRNA from 1 species
GACGAACGCUGGCGGCGUGCUUAACACAUGCAAGUCGAGCGGAAAGGCCCUUCGGGGUACUCGAGCGGCGAACGGGUGAGUAACACGUGAGUAACCUGCCCCAGACUUUGGGAUAACCCUCGGAAACGGGGGCUAAUACCGGAUACGACACAGCUUCGCAUGGGGUCUGUGUGGAAAGUUUUUCGGUUUGGGAUGGGCUCGCGGCCUAUCAGCUUGUUGGUGGGGUGAUGGCCUACCAAGGCGACGACGGGUAGCCGGCCUGAGAGGGCGACCGGCCACACUGGGACUGAGACACGGCCCAGACUCCUACGGGAGGCAGCAGCGGGGAAUAUUGCACAAUGGGCGGAAGCCUGAUGCAGCGACGCCGCGUGAGGGAUGACGGCCUUCGGGUUGUAAACCUCUUUCAGCAGGGACGAAGCGUAAGUGACGGUACCUGCAGAAGAAGCGCCGGCCAACUACGUG